AGUCGAGUGACGCACGUGUAUCUGCUCCUCUUUUACUGUCUGUCUCUUUGCACUUUUCUAAUAAACAUCAUGAGAGUUGUUGCGUUGAUCAGUGGAGGUAAAGACAGCUGUUAUAAUAUGAUGCAGUGUGUGUCUGCUGGUCACUCUAUAGUGGCACUCGCCAACCUCAUGCCUGCUAAACAUGUUGUUUCAGAUGAACUGGACAGUUACAUGUAUCAGACUGUGGGGCAUCAGGCGGUUGAGUUGUACGCUGAAGCAAUGGACCUGCCACUCUACAGACGCACUAUCGAGGGCUCGAGUCUGGACACUGGACGGGAAUACAGCCAGAGAGAUGGAGAUGAGGUGGAGGAUCUUUACCAUCUGCUGAAGCUUGUCAAGGAAAAGGAGAACAUUGAUGCGGUGUCUGUGGGGGCCAUUCUGUCCGACUACCAGAGAGUACGCGUUGAAAAUGUGUGUGCGAGGCUUCAGCUCCAGUCGCUGGCGUACCUGUGGCGCCGUGAUCAGGCCGCGCUGCUCAGAGAGAUGAUAUCGAGUGACCUUCACGCCCUCCUCAUCAAAGUGGCGGCGUUUGGUCUGGAUCCAGAGAAACAUUUAGGAAAAUCACUGGCGGAGAUGGAGCCGUAUCUGCACGAGCUUUCAGAGAAGUAUGGAGUUCAUAUCUGUGGUGAAGGUGGCGAGUAUGAGACCUUCACCCUCGACUGCCCGCUCUUCAAGAAAAAGAUUGUCAUUGACUCCAUGGAAACCAUCAUUCACUCAGCGGAUGCUUUCGCUCCUGUCGGAUACCUGCGGUUUACACACAUGCACACAGAGGACAAAAGUUCUGCCUGUGGCGUACGGUCACCGGUCGUCUGUAGAUGUCCUUGUCAGAGCAGCAUUGACAGUCUGACAGAAGAGCUGGAAUAUGCUGAUAAAACGACUGCAGAUCUGCCGCGAGACUGUCCGUCACACACUGAGCACUGGAGUCAGAGGGAGCUGGACUGUGUGCCAUCACACUCGGUCAGGAGUUCAGUGGGUUACCAGUGGAUAACCGGUCUAACAGCUCCUCCCUCUGAACACCCCAACGCCCAGAGUCAAACCCAAGAUGUUUUCACCCUCCUGGAAAGUGAACUGCAGGAGAAGUGUUUCCUGCUGAAGCAUGUUGUUCUGGUUCAUCUGUAUGUGAGUGAUAUGAAGAACUUCAGUCAGAUCAACUCUGUGUACAGCACAUACUUCAAGCACAAUCCACCCGCCAGGGUCUGCGUUGAAGUGUCACUUCCUGUUGGUCAGCUGUUGCGGAUGGACGUUCUGCUUCACGAUUGGACGCUGGUGUCUGAGGAGGAGCCAUUUCCACAAAAACACACGCUACACGUCCAGAGUCUGUCUCACUGGGCCCCGGCCAACAUUGGCCCCUACGGUCAGGCGGUGCGGGUGGAUGAUGCAGUGUUCUGCGCGGGUCAGAUUGCGCUGGUGCCCUGCCGUAUGCAGCUGGUGAGCGGGUCUGUGGCGCUGCAGUCUUGUCUGUGUUUCACUCAUGUGGAGAGUGUUCUGGCCGCUGUGGGUUCAAAGCUCACGCUACGUCACGUGCUGCAGGCACAACUGUACGUCAAUCACCGCAAACACAUCGCUGACGUCACUGCGGCCUGGAAGAGAAAACUACAGCACAUACAGCAGGAAUGUGAUGGUGAGCUUCCUGUUCAAAGCAGUAUUGCAGUCGUGCCAUAUUUACCCAGAGGAGCAGAAGUAGAGCUGCACGUCAUCGCUGUACAAGAUGAUCCCACAGAACGAUCCUCCUGUCACAUGACCUCACAGAUAGCAGGCGGCACCAUUGAAUGGCAGCUGUUGCAAUCCAGUUGUGGACGAUACGCCUCUCUGUCCAUGAAUGUGUGUGUGAAUGCAUCGAACACUAUGACGGAGCUCACAGGUGCGCUGGUGUCAUUAUUCCAGGAUGCUCUUGAGAAAUCUGGGAAGAAUCUGUCUCCUCUGUGUGCAAGAGUUUUCUAUAAGAGCAGCGACACAUCAAUCACUGAGGUCAUCACAGAUCUGCUGUCCCGACACACACACACGGAGUGCCACAAGCAACUUCACGGGUAACAGCCCGCCCUCACCCCCAAAAUAUCACGGGAGACUGAGAAAUUUGCCCUCAGACGCUUGUUCUGCUGCAGGGGCCGUUCACCACAGGAUGAAGCACAGGGUUCGAGUAUCGCUUGAGGAGUGUUCUGGAGCGGUCCAGUCCUGCUGUAGCUCGAGUCCCUGUUAAAGAUCUGCCGGACCGUGUUCUCCUCCAGUUCUCCUGCUGGCUCAGUGUGUAGAAUUCUCCAGAAGAGUGAAACAUGCACUCAUGCUGACGUCAAACUGAAGAAAAUCAAACGCAGUGUAACAUCUGUGAACGUCCUCCAAUCACAGUCUCUGUGUGUCUCGUGCAGUGUUGGCAUUAAUGAGAUCAGGUGUGUUACUAGAGCACAGACAGACACGGGGACAGAUUAUCAGUGAAUACUCUUAAAAUGCUUUUUUUGUUCUUGACAUCCUCUGGUCACUGUUUACUUUCAUUGAAUGGAAGAGACACUGUUGUUCUGUUAUGUUCUCUCAUCUGAAAGAUAAUUCCCAUCCUUCAGAUGAAUGUAUGGGUCACACAGUCUUCCUCUGCAGGAUGUGUUAUUACUGUGUUAUUAUUGUGUAAUGGGUUGGAAAUGUGAACGUCUGAUCACUUCUAUUGAUCCGGUGAAACUCUGUUUAAUAAAAGAGGACUG